AGUGAACGCUGGCGGUAGGCCUAACACAUGCAAGUCGAACGGCAGCACAGUAAGAGCUUGCUCUUACGGGUGGCGAGUGGCGGACGGGUGAGGAAUACAUCGGAAUCUACUUUUUCGUGGGGGAUAACGUAGGGAAACUUACGCUAAUACCGCAUACGACCUACGGGUGAAAGCAGGGGAUCUUCGGACCUUGCGCGAUUGUAUGAGCCGAUGUCGGAUUAGCUAGUUGGCGGGGUAAAGGCCCACCAAGGCGACGAUCCGUAGCUGGCCUGAGAGGAUGAUCAGCCACACUGGAACUGAGACACGGUCCAGACUCCUACGGGAGGCAGCAGUGGGGAAUAUUGGACAAUGGGCGCAAGCCUGAUCCAGCCAUACCGCGUGGGUGAAGAAGGCCUUCGGGUUGUAAAGCCCUUUUGUUGGGAAAGAAAAGCAGCAGGUUAAUACCCCGCUGUUCUGACGGUACCCAAAGAAUAAGCACCGGCUAACUUCGUG
rnacentral:rRNA from 1 species